AUUAAUAAUUAUAUAUAUAUGAUCCUUUAGCCCCCGUUUGGUUCGGGGUUAAGAAAAAGUAGCUAUUCCAGAAAUAGGGUUAAGUUCAGGGUUAAAAUGGUGUUAAAAUUUUUUUGUGUUUGGUGGAGGUUGGAGUUAGUCUAGGAUAGUGAAAAAAAGUGUUUGGUUGGAGUAGGUGGGAUAAGAAGAUAAUGAUUGAUAAAGAAGAAAAAGGUGAGAGCUCGAGAUGCGUGCGGGGUUAAAGUUGGGAGGGGGAGUGGGGUUAAUGAUUGAUAAAGAAGAAAAAGGUGAGGGCUCGGGAUGCGUGCGGGGUUAAAGUUGGGAGGGGGAGUGGGGUUAAUGAUUGAUAAAGAAGAAAAAGGUGAGGGCUCGGGAUGCGUGCGGGGUUAAAGUUGGGAGGGGGAGUGGGGUUAGUAAACCCCACUAAUCCGAUUUGGGGUGGGGUUUACUAACCCCACCCCAAAAGAGUGGUGUUUGGGUAUAAAUUGGGGGUUAAGGAAUUAUUUCACCCCUUAAUCCCCAACCAAACGGUGGCUUAAAAUAUUAUAGGUUUAUAUUCAACGGAUUAAAUUUUAAAAUCAUU
rnacentral:lncRNA from 1 species